GGUCAGCUUUCCUGGCGGGGUCACCCAUGAAGACAGUGGGAGGGUUAAACAUGUGAGACAAGCGCAGAAUAUCCAAUUAUGAGGCGAUUUAAAGCACAUAUUAUAAUAAAUAGUUUGACUAAAGCAAAAACAUUGAUGAAAAAAAGCAUCAUAGCUCCAUGCAACCCACACAAAUGAAAAACAUUUGUUUUGCCCUAUAGGUUAUAAAAAAAAUAAUAAUUGUACGUCGCUUUGGAUAAAAGCGUCUGCAAAAUGAAUAAACAUAAUAAUAAUAAUAAUAAUAAAAACAAAAUUUUUCAUUCUGAUGGUGGUGAGAGAUUUACUUAACUUUCUUAAAAACACAGGCCUGUGUGGGUAAAUGUGUUUAAGAAUGAAACCAGGAACGUGAAAACCAAAGCAAUGAAAGCAACACGUUUGGUAUCAAACCUGUACUUAAAGCAACUGCAGUAAACGAGGUGUGAAGCAGGAUUCUGUUGCAGAAGUGGUCUAAAAAAGAGGGUAGUGAGGUGUCAUCCGACAUUUCCUGCAUCAUAGUUUAGUGUGAGACAACUUCCUGUCACUGUCACAAACAUGAGGGCAUUUUUAAAAUAUAAUACCCUAAUGUUUUUUUUUUAGCAUUUUGCAGGUUUCCUACGACUUUUACACACAGACCAUGCAACUUUAGCACCCACAUUUACCAACAGUUGUGCACAUUGUUCAUGCAUGUGGGUCUACACCAAACAGAAAUAAGGUGGGCGACUUUCUUCAAACAAGAAUCCAACCUUACAGCCAGCAGGGCCCACUUUCAGCCCAUUAAAGACCCACUCCGGCUCUACAGACAAAUUUGAGCUGGUUACUGGAUUAAAGAUUUUGCAGUGUAGCAGCAUUGAUUUGAUGUUACUGUGAACAGAAACACUAACCUGGCAAGCCAUCCCAUAUAUGUCAACAUAUAGUCUGGACACCGCCCACUGACGUCUCUCAGUCAUGGGGCGAGACCUACGGUUGCCUUUGAAACUGUCUCCGUAUACUAUUGGAUAACGAACAAUGUGACGUGCUCACUGCUACAGAUAACCUAACCAUACUCCACCAAAGAAGCAAAUACAUCCUUUUUCUAAGUAAACACAAGUACCUCUUUCUGCUUCUGAGUCAAACAGAAGCCCAAGGCCAAAUAGUCCAAAGUUGAUGCCGAUUAGACCGUUACAGAGUUGUCGCCAACUUAGUUUCCCUCAGUUGCACUAAUGUCCCACCUACCUGACUGAUAGAGCACUGUGAUUGGCCCACCACACCAAUAGAGUGCUACAGAUGUCAGUGAACAGAGCAGUCCGCCAUAUAUCGGUGAAGAAGACGCAAACUAAACUGAUAGAGCGCUGUGAUUGGUCCGGCACCAGGUGGCCGGGGCUGUGAAGGUUCCAAUGUAGCGUAGCUAGACCAUCCGGUCUAGCUUCCUAGGCUACAGAAACACAACUAGAGCAAGAAAAUACUGUAACAUGAGGAAAUAUGGGUUUUUCUGUCACAAAGGUGGUGCUGGACUAAGCUGGGUCAAAGCUGGGUCAUUGAGAACUUUCACCCACAGAUUAAGACCUGAACGCCAGCGAGUCUGGGAGGAAACCAUAACAUCAGCCACCUGCAGUCUACCAGAAGAUGUGUUUCCAUGAGUUGUACCCAGACCAAGUCAAAACAUAAAGUUUAAACUUCUUUUUCUUGAUUUUAAUGUUAAAGUAACCAUUAUCAUUUUGCUCAUUAUAAAUGUGUUUAAUCAAAUGAAUGACUAUUAUGCUUUGGGGUAAUUAUAAGAGAUUUAAUGAAUCCAUUCUUAAAUAGUGUUGAGAAUGUUUGUUACUGACCUUCACACACUCAAGCACAAACAGUCACACACAUCCACACACAUCUUCCCACAGUAAACUCCAGACACAUUUGAUGACGCACACGUUUGCUUUGAGAAGAGAAAGGUUUUUGGUAAGUUUCAGUCUUAUGAUUCCAGUUCGUGCUUGACAACGAAAGAGAGAGAACCUGAAAGGGGGGGACAGAGCCUGUUGGCUCGUUUCUCCCCCCCCCCCCCCCCCCCCUUUCUCACGCUGUUUCUGCCAAGCCAGGCAGAAUAGCUGAAUCGCAACUUCUAACGCAGACUCAAUACAGAGUCUUUGAUUUCUGAGUGAAUUAACUUAAGAAAGCGCAUCGACAAAACGCUUUACCAUCCACGUGUACCGAGGGCAACUCUGGACCGGUUCCGUUCGACACCUACGUCUCCUGUCAGCCGCCGGUGUCAUCUGGAUGAACCACAACAUCCUCCACGGCCCGGAUCCGAAAGAGGGUCCACAAGAGUUCGGUGAGACAGAGCACGGUUUUAGCGUUUGAUGCAGUUCUCUGAUAAGACCUAAGUUUAUUCAAACCAUCACUUCACUCAGACACCUGUUUCUUCCUGAAGCAAAAUCAGAUGCACACACGCAUCCAUCUCACCCCAUCCUUGGAUCACUCCUUUUCAGAACCUCCAAGUCCAACACCUCCAGGUCUUUGGACAUCUGAACACCAACUCUUUCAGCACGAUUCAGACACGGCAUGAGUUUGAGAAACAAAAGGGGGGUGGGGAACCUCCUCCUGCUUUGCGAGCAUCAUUUUCGCAUUUCCAGUUCACUACCAUUUCUGAUCACAACAAAGUCGCCUCCGUAAAGCUGCAACCCAACUUUGAGCAGGUAAAAUCAGGUUCUGAUCUAACAGCUAAACCAUCAGCUUCGCUCCAGUUCCGGACGGAACCCUCAGGUAAAUUCAAACAAGUUUCCCGGUGGGUUCGUAACACAAGAUACAAACAGUUUGAUAACCAAAUCGCUUAUGAGCCUGCUCCCACAGAUACGUCCAAACUCGUGUCUCUGUGGGUCCGCAAUACCAGAUUCAAAACUCUAUACUGAACAACUCUAUUCUGACCAACUCUAUUCAGACCGGAUUCUUUUCCGCUGACUGGUGGACCGUUACAAAUUCUCUUGUUUGUGGGAUGAAUUUUUAACAAAUGUGAUAUCCUUUGAGUUUUUUUUUCAGGUUACCUGCCUCCAGCCAGGGUCCUGUUACUAACUCACAUUUUCAGGGAUUACUAACCUACUGAUUUACAUUUUUAGAACUGAUUUACAUCUCUAUCUUUUUAUUAGUGCUUUGUGUGGCAUGAUUAUAUUUGAUUACAAAUUUAAUUUUAUUUUGUUACUAUUACUUAAAGGGCCACAAGCCAAUUUGCCCUUCAUUUUCAUGAUUAUUUCUUUUAUAUAUAAGCCUUUAAUUGGUGCAGCCUGCUGAGUUUCACAUAUCAGUUAGGAUUUACUUUCUUUUAUUUGUGUUUUCUCUGCAUCACGUUUUUACAUGACAUGUAGAACAGGGUGCAGAACAUUUCUUCUUUAGAUAAUUCACAGAAGGCAUCCACAUUUUCCCAGAGGCACCCAUAGAUAGGUUUUGAUUGAUUUCUUUGUUUUGCAUCAAAUGCUAUCUAUCGUGUGGGCUGUCUCACUUUGUCUCCUUCUCCGAGCUCGUAUGGACUACAUCCCAUCAGAGGGGUCGUCUUCACCAUCCUUCAACUGGUUUCCUGUCGCAUGGGGCUUCGGUCGUGGUUCGAGAUGGGUCGAGGUCUGCGCUGGACUUCGCCUGGACUACGCCCGAGGAAUGCAUCACCUGCCCAGCUCCGUGUGACACACGAGCUGCUUAUCCUUUGAAUACCUUUGCAUUAUUACUGAUGAAAUUAACUGCUAUUGAAAUAGCUCUGCUUUCAAGAUUCCCUAAGUGGAUUACUUUACAAUGAUUGCAACAGUUUUGGCCUUAAUCAUCUGAUCAGGAUAGACUCCCUUCUACACGAGACCUGUGGUGAUGCUUCAUCGUUCCUGCCUUCAUCUGGGAUGUCUACCUUCACGAGUACAUCACGUUAUUGUGGUUGUGACGUCAGGUGGCCUCUGCUUGACCACCAUGUCGUCACAAAAAGGGGGGAUCUGUAACGUGAGGAAAUAUGGGUUUUUCUGUCACAAAGGUGGUGCUGGACUAAGCUGGGUCAAAGCUGGGUCAUUGAGAACUUUCACCCACAGAUUAAGACCUGAACGCCAGUGAGUCUGGGAGGAAACCAUAACAUCAGCCACCUGCAGUCUAGCAGAAGAUGUGUUUCCAUGAGUUGUACCCAGACCAAGUCAAAACAUAAAGUUUAAACUUCUUUUUCUUGAUUUUAAUGUUAAAGUAACCAUUAUCAUUUUGCUCAUUAUAAAUGUGUUUAAUCAAAUGAAUGACUAUUAUGCUUUGGGGUAAUUAUAAGAGAUUUAAUGACUCCAUUCUUAAAUAAUGUUGAGAAUGUUUGUUACUGACCUUCACACACUCAAGCACACAAACAGUCACACACACCCACACACAUCUUCCCACAGUAAACUCCAGACACAUUUGAUGACGCACAUGUUUUGCUUUGAGAAGAGAAAGGUUUUUGGUAAGUUUCAGUCUUAUGAUUCCAGUUCGUGCUUGACAACGAAAGAGAGAGAACCUGAAAGGGGGGACAGAGCCUGUUGGCUCGUUUCUUCCCCCCCCCCCCCCCCCCUUUUCUCACGCUGUUUCUGCCAAGCCAGGCAGAAUAGCUGAAUCGCAACUUCUAACGCAGACUCAAUACAGAGUCUUUGAUUUCUGAGUGAAUUAACUUAAGAAAGCGCAUCGACAAAACGCUUUACCAUCCACGUGUACCGAGGGCAACUCUGGACCGGUUCCGUUCGACACCUACGUCCCCUGUCAGCCGCCGGUGUCAUCUGGAUGAACCACAACAUCCUCCACGGCCCGGAUCCGAAAGAGGGUCCACAAGAGUUCGGUGAGACAGAGCACGGGUUUUAGCGUUUGAUGCAGUUCUCUGAUAAGACCUAAGUUUAUUCAAACCAUCACUUUUCACUCAGACACCUGUUUCUUCCUGAAGCAAAAUCAGACUCACACACUCUUCAUAAAUUCACCAGAAGGUCUAUUUGAGCAAGAACAGCAUAUCAACUGUUAAAGAUUGUCCCACAAAGUUGCCAAUGUGAUUGUUAUUUCCUGUUUGUCAAUUUUCAAAAUCAUUAGUUUAAUUUGAAGAAUUAAAACUUUUAAUCCUUCAAA